rnacentral:rRNA from 1 species
AUUAACGAAUAUAAUUCGAGGGGUUGUCGCUGGCCUCGCUCGCGCGAGGCAUGUGCACGCUUCUUGUUUUUCUCUCAACUCACCUGUGCACCUAAUGUAGGAUGCCUCUCCUCCGGGAGGGGGGACCUAUGUCUUCAUAACAUCUUCGUGUAGAAAGUCUUUGAAUGUUUACUAUCAUCGAGUCGCGACUUCUAGGAGACGCGAUUCUUUGAGAUAAAAGUUAUUACAACUUUCAGCAACGGAUCUCUUGGCUCUCGCAUCGAUGAAGAACGCAGCGAAAAGCGAUAUGUAAUGUGAAUUGCAGAUCUACAGUGAAUCAUCGAAUCUUUGAACGCACCUUGCGCUCCUCGGUGUUCCGAGGAGCAUGCCUGUUUGAGUGUCAGUAAAUUCUCAACCCCUCUCGAUUAGCUUUGAGAGGGUGCUUGGAUAGUGGAGGUUGCCGGAGACUUGGAUUCGUCCGAGACUCGGGCUCUUCUGAAAUGCAUCGGCUUGCGGUCGACUUUCGACUAUGUGCGACAAGGCUUUCGGCGUGAUAAUGAUCGCCGUUCGCUGAAGCGCAUGACUGAAUGUCCCGUGCCUCUAAUAUGUCGACCGCUUAUUAUCUCUCCGGAGAGAACAGGGUCUUCCUUAUUGACUUUUGACCUCAAUCAGGUAGGACUACCCGCUGAACUUAAGCG